AGAACAUAUCUGAGAGUAACUGUUCAGGUAUUGACGGUAUUUAACCAGAAAGCCACGGCUAACUACGUGCCAGCAGCCGCGGUAAUACGUAGGUGGCAAGCGUUGUCCGGAUUUAUUGGGCGUAAAGCGAGCGCAGGCGGUUUUUUAAGUCUGAUGUGAAAGCCUUCGGCUCAACCGAAGAAGUGCAUCGGAAACUGGGAAACUUGAGUGCAGAAGAGGACAGUGGAACUCCAUGUGUAGCGGUGAAAUGCGUAGAUAUAUGGAAGAACACCAGUGGCGAAGGCGGCUGUCUGGUCUGUAACUGACGCUGAGGCUCGAAAGUAUGGGUAGCAAACAGGAUUAGAUACCCUGGUAGUCCAUACCGUAAACGAUGAAUGCUAAGUGUUGGAGGGUUUCCGCCCUUCAGUGCUGCAGCUAACGCAUUAAGCAUUCCGCCUGGGGAGUACGGCCGCAAGGCUGAAACUCAAAGGAAUUGACGGGGGCCCGCACAAGCGGUGGAGCAUGUGGUUUAAUUCGAAGCUACGCGAAGAACCUUACCAGGUCUUGACAUACUAUGCAAAUCUAAGAGAUUAGACGUUCCCUUCGGGGACAUGGAUACAGGUGGUGCAUGGUUGUCGUCAGCUCGUGUCGUGAGAUGUUGGGUUAAGUCCCGCAACGAGCGCAACCCUUAUUAUCAGUUGCCAGCAUUAAGUUGGGCACUCUGGUGAGACUGCCGGUGACAAACCGGAGGAAGGUGGGGAUGACGUCAAAUCAUCAUGCCCCUUAUGACCUGGGCUACACACGUGCUACAAUGGAUGGUACAACGAGUUGCGAACUCGCGAGAGUAAGCUAAUCUCUUAAAGCCAUUCUCAGUUCGGAUUGUAGGCUGCAACUCGCCUACAUGAAGUCGGAAUCGCUAGUAAUCGCGGAUCAGCAUGCCGCGGUGAAUACGUUCCCGGGCCUUGUACACAC
rnacentral:rRNA from 1 species